UGCCCUAGAGUGUAUUCACCCGGC
rnacentral:siRNA from 1 species